rnacentral:pre_miRNA from 1 species
UGGUUUUCAUUGUCUAUGUCUGUGUCUAAUCUACUGACUCCUUGUGGUUUUCAUUGUCUAUGUUAGUAGAUUAGACACAGACAUAGACAAUGAAAAC